CUUAUGAUAAGGGCUGGGGAAAAAGACAGUCUUUGGACUUGUGGGAAGCCUUUACCAGCUUCCAUGAGCAGGUCUGAUGGAAGAAGGCAAAAUGGCACUGUUGUAUUUCCUCUGUGCAAGAUGAAAAGCCUGGGGAAUCCCAUUCAGCAGCAGCUGUGUGAACCUAAAGUGCAUCCAUCUGAAGCUCUUGCCAAACUUCUGCCAUCCUACACUGAAAGCUUCACACUGGAUAGAGGAGAUGAUAUUUAGGAAGGAGAUAUCUAUAUGUGUUAAUAAGAGGAAACUGCGGAGCACUAAUGGAACUGUCAAGAGGAAAAACACCAGCAGACCACAUGAAACCUAGCAGAAGGUCCCCUGGCAGAGCUGCAGGAGCAAAGGCUCAGAACAGGCACCAGGGAAGGGAAGGCAGAGGGAUAGACUUCAUUUUUGCCAGAACCACAAGAUCUAUUGGAUUAAUGCUUUUGGUAUCAUUGCUCCAACCAGCCUCACUAGGGUUGGUGACCAAUUGCAUCCUUAUGAAGUUCCAGUACAUGUAUUUAUUUUUACAUGUACAUAGGUUCCUUGUAAUUGGUAUUCAGCAAGGUCUGCAACUGAGAUGUGUGUCAGGUGGAGCUGCCAGGAAGUCUUUGCUGAAAGGGUUGGAGGUGCUUUUAUGACUCUCAGAUAGAAAUCCAAGCUCGAGAUACAAAACUAUUAUUCAUCAUAAAAUAUUGCUAACACUGAAGAACAUUCUCAAGCAUUUCACUGGAUUUUAUGCUGGAGUGAAGGAAAUGAACUGUUCAGGGGUUGUGUAAUUGUUAUUAAAAGGUUCUUCAACAUACAUAAAAAUUAUACCUGAGCUGAAACUGUUCAUUAAAGAUGAGUGAAAACUACUGAAGUGGGCUGUUCUUUUUCCCCUGGAUAUCACUACAGGCCUUCUUAAUAUAUUACACAGAUACUAAUUUGUUUGCCUUGGAGGUCUGUGAUAAUUCGUCAGUGAAGUGAGUUUCCAGAGAAAAUGGAAAAUAGGAAUAAAUGAGAAGAGAAGAAUAAUGAGAUUUGCUGG
rnacentral:lncRNA from 1 species